UACGGGGGGGGCAAGCGUUGUGCGGAAUUACUGGGCGUAAAGGGCUCGUAGGCGGCCAACUAAGUCAGACGUGAAAUCCCUCGGCUUAACCGGGGAACUGCGUCUGAUACUGGUUGGCUUGAAUCCGGGAGAGGGAUGUGGAAUUCCAGGUGUAGCGGUGAAAUGCGUAGAUAUCUGGAGGAACACCGGUGGCGAAGGCGGCAUCCUGGACCGGUAUUGACGCUGAGGAGCGAAAGCCAGGGGAGCAAACGGG
rnacentral:rRNA from 1 species